CACGAACUGUGCGAACGUUAUUCGGAAUCACUGGGCUUAAAGAGUUCGUAGGCGGCACGUUAAGUCGGGUGUGAAAUCCCUCGGCUCAACCGAGGAAUUGCGUCCGAAACUGGCGUGCUUGAGUAAGAUAGAGGUGAGCGGAACUGAUGGUGGAGCGGUGAAAUGCGUUGAUAUCAUCAGGAACACCGGUGGCGAAAGCGGCUCACUGGGUCUUAACUGACGCUGAGGAACGAAAGCUAGGGGAGCGAACGGGAUUAGAUACCCCGGUAGUCCUAGCCGUAAACGAUGAGCACUAGGUUGAGGGGACCUCCACAUCCCCCCGGCCGUAGCGAAAGUGUUAAGUGCUCCGCCUGGGGAGUAUGGUCGCAAGGCUGAA
rnacentral:rRNA from 1 species